rnacentral:rRNA from 1 species
GACGAACGCUGGCGGCGUGCUUAACACAUGCAAGUCGAACGGAAAGGCCCUGCUUUUGUGGGGUGCUCGAGUGGCGAACGGGUGAGUAACACGUGAGUAACCUGCCCUUGACUUUGGGAUAACUUCAGGAAACUGGGGCUAAUACCGGAUAGGAGCUCCUGCUGCAUGGUGGGGGUUGGAAAGUUUCGGCGGUUGGGGAUGGACUCGCGGCUUAUCAGAUUGUUGGUGGGGUAGUGGCUUACCAAGGCUUUGACGGGUAGCCGGCCUGAGAGGGUGACCGGGCACAGGGGGACGGAGAGACGGAGCAGGCGGCUACGGGAGGGAGUGGGGGGGAAGAGGGAAAAAUGGGGGGAAGUGUGAGGCAGCAGCGGGGGGGGGGGGAGAAGUGGCUGGGGGUAGGAAAACGGUUUCGACUGGGACAAAGGGUGAGUGACGGGAAGGGAUGAAGAAGCACAGGCUCACUACGGG